AGAGUUUGAUCCUGGCUCAGAUUGAACGUUGGCGGCAGGCUUAACACAUGCAAGUCGAGCGGUAACAGUGGGAGCUUGCUCCCAGCUGACGAGCGGCGGACGGGUGAGUAACGCGUAGGAAUCUACCUAGUAGUGGGGGACAACCCGAGGAAACUCGGGCUAAUACCGCAUACGCUCUUAGGAGGAAAGCGGGGGAUCUUCGGACCUCGCGCUAUUAGAGGAGCCUGCGUCGGAUUAGCUAGUUGGUGAGGUAAAGGCUCACCAAGGCAACGAUCCGUAGCUGGUCUGAGAGGACGACCAGCCACACUGGAACUGAGACACGGUCCAGACUCCUACGGGAGGCAGCAGCGGGGAAUCUUGGACAAUGGGCGCAAGCCUGAUCCAGCCAUGCCGCGUGUGUGAAGAAGGCCUUAGGGUUGUAAAGCACUUUCAGUGGUGAAGAAAUGCUCAGGGUUAAUAACCCUCGAGUCUUGACGUUAACCACAGAAGAAGCACCGGCUAACUCCGUGCCAGCAGCCGCGGUAAUACGGAGGGUGCGAACGUUAAUCGGAAUUACUGGGCGUAAAGCGCACGUAGGCGGUUUGUUAAGUGGGAUGUGAAAGCCCCGGGCUCAACCU
rnacentral:rRNA from 1 species